rnacentral:lncRNA from 1 species
CUUUUAUUAUAUAGAAAGAUCAAGAAAUUUUAACUGACUCCUGAAUACUGAACCGACAUAGCCACUCCAAAUCUUCAGAAAACAUUUAGGCCAGAAAUAGCAAAUGAAGCUCCACGGCUGGCCUAUAUGGCAGUAGAUAUUGGGAGAAUAUAAAUAUUUACCUGCGGUCUUAGUGAGGAUUUGGUAUGUUUCAAAAGUAAUAAGCCAACAGAGUGGAACAGUUACCUGAAUUAGGUUUUAAAAAUCACUUUGACCUCCAGAAAAAGAAAUCAAUAGAAAUUUAUCAUGAGAUGAUUUAGGACAUUGACAUAUUUCUCAGAAAUAAAAACAGGAAAUACUGUAUUAAAGAAGUACUUUGAUAAUUACACAUAUGUAAAACAAAAGGUGAAAUGAGUCAGGCAGAAAAUUCUAAAUGAGACCAAGUAAAGAUCCUACUUAAAGAAAUAAAAUUAUUAGAACUAGAGUAGGUAGUGAAUAGGAAAUCAUACUGGGGGACUUCUCCUCUCUUAAAUUUUAACAUACAAAUAGUGAAACAGAAUGAAUAGCAUGAGGAAUAAUUUUGUGUAACUGUCUAAAAUUUUAUGUAUGUAGCAGGUAUAUAAAGAUUAAGAUUUAUGUAUUAUAAAAUAUAUCACAGUGAGGUUUUAAUUUUACUUUUAAAUGUGAGAGACAUUUCAAGAAAUGGUAGUAAUGCACAUUUUGGUGCACAGUGGAUUGUGAAGCACGUAUUCAUUUAAGAGGAAAGUGUUUACUUUUGGAAAAACCUAAAACUUGAGUGUUGUUGCAAUAAAAAUAGGAAUAUAUUGAAGAAUUUAAGUUAAAUUCGAUGGUAUUGAUGAUGUACUUGAUCUUUUUAGUGUUUGGAUGGAAAAACAAAGUAGAGCAAGCCAAGAAGAAACCAUCUUUUGAAAGUCAUGGUAGGCACAAACUGCCACCUCUUUCAAGAACUAAAGUCCCCCAAAGAAGUCUGAGGUGUGGAAGAGGAGGAAGUGGUACACCAAGAGGUCGUUCUUCACGUGAAGGGUGCUUGGGUAAUAUCUUAAGAUUCAAGGAUGCAAACAUAGGAUCAAAAACCAAUGAUGGUGGAUAUACUCUUAAUCUCAGAAGAAGAAGUCUGCUGUCUUUUUGAAACACUACAUAAAGAAAAGCCGAAGCUGUGGGGGAGAGGCCCAGAGAGAGAAUGGAAGGGAGAUAGGUUGCUGUGAGGUGCUUUAGAGUCCCCAGCAGACUUACUACAGACUUAGCAGGAUAAAUAAAUAACUAAAUAGAAGAUAAAUAGAUAAGUGC